CGGUUGAUCCUGCCGGACCUGACUGCUAUCGGAUUGAUACUAAGCCAUGUGAGUCAUUGUAGUAAUACAAGGCAGACGGCUCAGUAACACGUAGCCAAUCUAACCUAUGGACGGGGAUAACCUCGGGAAACUGAGAGUAAACCCCGAUAGAUCAUAAUGCCUGGAACGGUUUAUGGUCCAAAUGAUUCGUCGCCGUAGGAUGAGACUGCGGCUUAUCAGCUUGUUGGUGAGGUAAUGGCCCACCAAGGCUAUUACAGGUACGGGCUCUGAGAGGAGAAGCCCGGAGAUGGGUACUGAGACACGGACCCAGGCCCUAUGGGGCGCAGCAGGCGAGAAACCUUUGCAAUGUGCGCAAGCACGACAAGGUUAAUCCGAGUGUUUCCUGCUUAAGGAACCUUUUGCUAGUCCUAAAAACACUAGUGAAUAAGGGGUGGGCAAGUUCUGGUGUCAGCCGCCGCGGUAAAACCAGCACCUCAAGUGGUCAGGAGGAUUAUUGGGCCUAAAGCAUCCGUAGCUUGUUCUGUAAGUCUCCGGUUAAAUCCAUUAGCUCAACUAAUGGCCUGCCGGAAAUACUGCAGAACUAGGAAGUGGGAGAGGUAGACGGUACUCGGUAGGAAGGGGUAAAAUCCUUUGAUCUAUUGAUGACCACCU
rnacentral:rRNA from 1 species